GGGGGUGUGGUGGAGUAGUCAAUCACAACAGACUGUAAAUCUGUCGGCCGAACGGCCUUCGUAGGUGCAAAUCCUACCGCCCCCA
rnacentral:tRNA from 2 species